CUUGGUUUCUGGCCUUAAAGGAAGCUUUCUCAGACAAUGCCUUUUCCAGGGCACGUUUCCUGGCCUCUGCAGUUGCUCUCUCAACUGCAGCUCGCUCCGCCUUCAGUUUGGCUUCCAUAGAUGCCUUCUCUGCUGCUGACUUAGCAUUAGCUUCUGCACAAGCCUUCUCUAACCUUUCUCGGGCCUCUGCCAUUACCCUUUGAUGAGCUUCUGCAGUUGCUCUUUCUGCAGCAGCCCUUUCUGCCCUUUCUCUGGCUUCAGCAAAAGCCCUUUCACGAGCUUCUCGGAUUGCUCUUUCUACAGCUAUCCUCUCCUUUUCCUUUUCCAUUUCCCUCACUUUUGCUUCUUCCUUUCUCCCAUGAUGUUUCUUUUCCAACUCCACUUCCUUUUGCAAAUUAUCUUCAGCUUCCCUCUUUUCUCCUGUCAGAGUUUCAUCAUUCUUCUCCUUUUUAUCAGUGUUUUGGUUUGCUCUCUCCUGUGAUACUCCCAUCAUCGUUCUUUCCC
rnacentral:misc_RNA from 1 species